AUUGAACGCUGGCGGCAUGCCUUACACAUGCAAGUCGAACGGUAACAGGUCUUCGGAUGCUGACGAGUGGCGAACGGGUGAGUAAUACAUCGGAACGUGCCCAGACGUGGGGGAUAACGAGGCGAAAGCUUUGCUAAUACCGCAUACGAUCUAAGGAUGAAAGCAGGGGACCGCAAGGCCUUGCGCGUUUGGAGCGGCCGAUGGCAGAUUAGGUAGUUGGUGGGAUAAAAGCUUCCAAGCCGACGAUCUGUAGCUGGUCUGAGAGGACGACCAGCCACACUGGGACUGAGACACGGCCCAGACUCCUACGGGAGGCAGCAGUGGGGAAUUUUGGACAAUGGGCGAAAGCCUGAUCCAGCAAUGCCGCGUGCAGGAUGAAGGCCUUCGGGUUGUAAACUGCUUUUGUACGGAACGAAAAGGCUCUGGCUAAUACCUGGGGCACAUGACGGUACCGUAAGAAUAAGCACCGGCUAACUACGUG
rnacentral:rRNA from 1 species